AUUUACUUUUGUUAUGUAGAGACAUGUGGAGGAAGAACAUCGAGUCAAAUGAGAAAGUAAAAGAAUACAAAAUGAAGAAAAGAUUAUUGCUGAAAACUCAGCUCAGUAAUCUUGAGUCAAAUCUUCAAAUACUCAAACAGCAAAUUAUUAACAAAACAAACUGACUUGAUCAUACUAGUACAUAAAGACACAUAAAACUAUGCUAAUAGGAAUUGAGUUAGCCAUUACACAUGUAUAUUAAUAAUAUUACCGCCAUACAUUGCAGCUGUACAUCUAUAAAUACUAUUGUAAGAUGAGGCAUGCUUCAUUUCUAA